GACGAGCGCUGGCGGCGUGCCUAAUACAUGCAAGUUGAGCGCUGAAGGUUGGUACUUGUACCAACUGGAUGAGCAGCGAACGGGUGAGUAACGCGUGGGGAAUCUGCCUUUGAGCGGGGGACAACAUCGGGAAACGAAUGCUAAUACCGCAUAAAAACUUUAAACACAAGUUUUAAGUUUGAAAGAUGCAAUUGCAUCACUCAAAGAUGAUCCCGCGUUGUAUUAGCUAGUUGGUGAGGUAAAGGCUCACCAAGGCUAUGAUACAUAGCCGACCUGAGAGGGUGAUCCGGCACAAUGGGACUGAGAAAAGGCCCAAAAUCCUACGGGAGGGAGCCGUAGGGGAUCUUCGGCAAUUGACGAAAGUCUGACCGGGCAACGCCGGGUGGAUGAAGAAGGUUUUCGGAUCGUAAAACUCUGUUGGUAAGGAAGAACGUUGGUGGGAAUGGAAAACUCAUCAAGUGACGGUAACUACCCAGAAAGGGACGGCUAACUACGUG
rnacentral:rRNA from 1 species